GAUGAACGCUGGCGGCGUGCCUAAUACAUGCAAGUCGAGCGAACAGACGAGGAGCUUGCUCCUCUGACGUUAGCGGCGGACGGGUGAGUAACACGUGGAUAACCUACCUAUAAGACUGGGAUAACUUCGGGAAACCGGAGCUAAUACCGGAUAAUAUAUUGAACCGCAUGGUUCAAUAGUGAAAGACGGUUUUGCUGUCACUUAUAGAUGGAUCCGCGCCGCAUUAGCUAGUUGGUAAGGUAACGGCUUACCGAGGCAACGAUGCGUAGCCGACCUGAGAGGGUGAUCGGCCACACUGGAACUGAGACACGGACCAGGCUCCUACGGGAGGCAGCAGUAGGGAAUGUUCCGCAGUGGGCGAAAGCCUGACGGAGCAGCGCCGCGUGAGUGAUGGAGGUCUUCGGAUCGUAAAGCUCUGUUAUUAGGGAAGAACAAAUGUGUAAGUAACUAUGCACGUCUUGACGGUACCUAAACAGAAAGCCACGGCUAACUACGUG
rnacentral:rRNA from 1 species